CACCCGGUCGCACACGGCGUGCACCUGCCCAGCAUGUGAGAGGUCGAAUGGAAUUGCUGCAGGAGGUUCCUCGUUCGACUCGGGGUCGGGUGA